rnacentral:rRNA from 1 species
AACGAACGCUGGCGGCAGGCCUAACACAUGCAAGUCGAACGCUGUAGCAAUACAGAGUGGCAGACGGGUGAGUAACGCGUGGAAACCUUCCCAGUGGUGCGAAUUAGCCGAGGGAAACUUGCGUUAUUCCCGCAGAAGCCCCUAGGGGGAAAGAUUUAUUGCCAUUGGAUGGGCCCGCGUCGGAUUAGCUAGUUGGUGAGGUAAUGGCUGACCAAGGCAACGACCCGUAGCUGGUUUGAGAGAAUGACCAGCCACACUGGGACUGAGACACGGCCCAGACUCCUACGGGAGGCAGCAGUGGGGAAUCUUGGACAAUGGGCGCAAGCCUGAUCCAGCCAUGCCGCGUGAGUGACGAAGGCCUUAGGGUUGUAAAGCUCUUUUGCCGGGGACGAUAAUGACGGUACCCGGAGAAUAAGUCCCGGCUAACUUCGUGCCAGCCGCCGCGGUAA